AGUGACAAAGUUCAACGGCCGCGGUACCCUAACCGUGCGAAGGUAGCAUAAUCACUUGUUCUUUAAAUGAGGACUUGUAUCAACGGCACUACGAGGGCUAUACUGUCUCCUUUUUCUAAUCAGUGAAACUGAUCUCCCCGUGAAGAAGCGGGGAUCAAAAUAUAAGACGAGAAGACCCCAUGGAGCUUUAAACUCACCACACACCUCUGUGAUGCUAUACCAUUAAACACAAGAAAUCUGUGUGCUAGUUUUAGGUUGGGGUGACCACGGAGUACAAUUUAACCUCCAUAACAAAUGGGCUAAUACCCUUAUCCACGAGACACAACUCUAAGAAUUACUAAACUAAUGCUUAUGACCCGAUAUUCGAUCAAUGAACCAAGUUACCCUGGGGAUAACAGCGCAAUCUACUUCAAGAGCCCCUAUCGACAAGUAGGUUUACGACCUCGAUGUUGGAUCAGGGUAUCCCGGUGGUGCAGCCGCUACCGAUGGUUCGUUUGUUCAACGAUUAAAACCCUACGUGA
rnacentral:rRNA from 1 species